rnacentral:rRNA from 1 species
GAUGAACGCUAGCGGCAGGCUUAAUACAUGCAAGUCGAGGGGCAGCACGGUUAGCAAUAACUGGUGGCGACCGGCGCACGGGUGCGUAACACGUAUACAAUCUACCUUAAACAGGGGGAUAGCCUUUCGAAAGAGAGAUUAAUACCCCGUAAUAAAUUGAACGGCAUCGUUUGAUUUUGAAAGCUCCGGCGGUUUGAGAUGAGUAUGCGUCUGAUUAGCUAGUUGGUGAGGUAACGGCUCACCAAGGCGACGAUCAGUAGGGGAUCUGAGAGGACUAACCCCCACACUGGUACUGAGACACGGACCAGACUCCUACGGGAGGCAGCAGUAAGGAAUAUUGGUCAAUGGAGGCAACUCUGAACCAGCCAUGCCGCGUGCAGGAUGACGGCCCUAUGGUUGAAACUGCUUUUAUACAAGAGAAAACCCUGGUACGUGUACCAGGUUGAUAGUAUUGUAAGAAUAAGCAUCGGCUAACUUCGUGCCAGCAGCCGCGGU